AACGGCCAUACCAUGCUGAAUAUGCCGGUUCUCGUUAGAUCACCGAAGUCAAGCAUCAUUGGGCACGGUAAUACUUGGGUGGGUAAUUGGGAACACCGCGUGCCGCUG
rnacentral:rRNA from 1 species